GUUGUGACCUUUUCGAAGAGUUUCAUGGCUGCCAGACCUCAGACUCACCGCCGGCUCACCAGAUUAAUGGAACAAAGAGGAGGAGCGAGUGUGUCUGUCUUUCUCAGGCCACCGUACGAAUCCAUACGUCUCCACGAUGUGUUCCGUAGACGUACGGAAUCCCACCCGUCUGCCCAAAAUCUGAGCUUUUGAUUCGUUCAUUAAUCGGCUCCUGAGGUUCUUCCUUCCUCUACCAGAAGUGGCCUCCCCAUCGCCCGUCUUCCCACUAAAGUGCAAGUGUCAUUCCUUCCUGCAGAGAAUAUCCUGCACCUCGUUCCAACACGUUUCCACCGACAUGCCGCUGUCUGCUGCUUCGCUCUUUCCAAGGAGCGCAUCGAUUUCUCUCUUCUAUUAAAUGAG
ensembl:lncRNA